CGGAGGAUCCAAGCGUUAUCCGGAAUCAUUGGGUUUAAAGGGUCCGUAGGCGGUUUAGUAAGUCAGUGGUGAAAGCCCAUCGCUCAACGGUGGAACGGCCAUUGAUACUGCUAAACUUGAGUUAUUAGGAAGUAACUAGAAUAUGUAGUGUAGCGGUGAAAUGCUUAGAGAUUACAUGGAAUACCAAUUGCGAAGGCAGGUUACUACUAAUGGAUUGACGCUGAUGGACGAAAGCGUGGGUAGCGAACAGGAUUAGAUACCCUGGUAGUCCACGCCGUAAACGAUGGAUACUAGCUGUUGGGGGCAACUUCAGUGGCUAAGCGAAAGUGAUAAGUAUCCCACCUGGGGAGUACGUUCGCAAGAAUG
rnacentral:rRNA from 1 species